UAGAGCCGAUACUGCUUUUGCUCCCUCAAUCAUAAAAAUAACACUGAUAACAAAUGUUACAAGUCUCAAUUUAAAAAAAGGAACAUUUAUUGAACUUCAAUAUAAAAAACAAUAUUUAACAAAUAGUAAAAACAGGUGAGGUAGAACAAGUAAGAACAAAACAAGUAAAAAAUAAAAAAAACUAGGCGGAAAAAAUAU